rnacentral:rRNA from 1 species
AGAGUUUGAUCCUGGCUCAGAACGAACGCUGGCGGCAGGCUUAACACAUGCAAGUCGAACGCGUGUAGCAAUACACGAGUGGCGCACGGGUGAGUAACGCGUGGAUAUCUGCCUUUUGGUUCGGAAUAACUCCGGGAAACUGGAGCUAAUACCGGAUGGUUCCUACGGGAUAAAGAUUUAUCGCCAAAAGAUGAGUCCGCGUACGAUUAGCUAGUUGGUGAGGUAAUGGCUCACCAAGGCGACGAUCGUUAGCUGGUCUGAGAGGACGAUCAGCCACACUGGGACUGAGACACGGCCCAGACUCCUACGGGAGGCAGCAGUGGGG